GCCUGGGAGUCGGACCGUCCACACUGUCGCGGUCCCCUUCGUGAGCCUAUAUCAGAGAAACAGAAAAAUGACUCCUCCGUACCAACUUCACACACCUCUGAAACUGCUUUUUUGGAUGAAAAUCAAUGCAUACAUCUGCUUUUUUAGGGGUUCGACUGGACUCCUCCCCAACCUGGAAAAAAAAACAAGAAGAGAGGGAAAUAAACACACAUGCUUAAAACAGAUACCAGAGGUCAGCUCAGAGAUGACAGGCAUGGCUCCCGAUGAACAGACAGAAGAGGUAUUUAACCUGUCUGACUAUAAUUUAUCAACCACUGAGGUAAAACUCCUUUCUUGGGGAUUGUCAUUUUGCCCUAGUGUGCCCAUCUUUGAUGUCAAUAUGCGGAUUGACUUCUUAAAAUUCGUCCAAAAUUAAGAUUGAAAGGACCCUUUAAAUCAUAUUGUCAGGAUAUUAAUGCUUGCAAAGAAGUGCCUACUACACCUUUUAGAUUGCAUAAUUUUGGUUUGUCUAAAAAAAAAAAAAAAAACUCAAUUCAAUCUGUUUGUUAAACACUAUAGUUUCAGGAACACAAACAUGUAUUCCUGACCCUAUAGUGUUUAACCCAUCAUUCAGGUGGCUUGCCCCCCCCCCCCUCCCAUUAGCCCCCUUAUAAAAGUUUAAAACUCACCUUAUUUCCAGCGUCACGCGGGUCUGCCGGCGCUGGCUCUGCCCCCUUUGUGACAUCAUCAAAAUGACCGAUUUUUGGCGAGUCCAAUGCUUUCCCAUAGAGUACGCUGUGCAGAAUAUCAACAAGUGUGACCUGCUACCCAUCCCCCUCAAUCAAAGACAGUGAUUUUGGGACACAGUCGAAUGUGAUAGGUGCCACUUUAACCCAAAAGCCUUAAUCGUGAUUUCGAUUUUACCCUAUUUUUAUAAUCUUGAGUAUAACUGCAUCUAGGUUUUUAGUAUAUAUACUUGUUUUAACUAUUUUCUAAUCUCUCCCCUUUUUUCUAUUACCAUAUCUACAUGCGACAUGUCAUUAUUUUCUCCUGUUUGUUAUAUAAGCGCCCUUUUUUCCUAUGUGGCAAUUCUGUUGCAUUAUGUAAAUGAUAACUGCCUAAUAAUGUAUCCAGAACUAUCUAUUUAAUGCUGUAAAUAGUAAUUAAUUUUGCUUCUAAGGAUAAUGCUGUUUUUGAAGAAGCUGUACUUCAUAUGGAUCAUCUAUUGUGCACAAAGUCGUUAUGGUACUUUUCCAUGUUUUUCUUUCUUUCAGUGUGGUAUCUUGUAUCUUUUCAGAGUAUACUUUUGUAUCAAAUUAAUUGGCUCCUUGUAGGGGUGGAUCUUGCACUUAUUGGUGUAAUUACUAGGGUAUUUAAGCUGUAUUUGGUUAUUUGGAUCUCAGGUUUGACAAUGACACUGCCGAUGCUCUCACCUUCCCUCAGAAGCUGCAGGCUAGACUUCAC